GCUCACACAAUUACCUCUCCCUUUUCCCUUCCACUUGGAGCCAUGAGGUUGUUGCCUUCAGUGACAUCUGCUCUUCCUAUUCCCAUUACAGUCUUGCCCAUAUAUUCUCAAUUAUAUGUUACAUAAAUAACAUAUUAUGGGAUGAAUGUUGUGGUCAGUAUGGAGAAGACAUCAUGUGAUUUGUCUUUAAUCCUUUGGCUUUCAAAACAAUUCCCUGCAGAUAACAAUACUGAAGAAAUUAAAUGAAUUCAACUAAGUAAACUAAGGAAAUACAUGGCAUGAGGGUUAAUGAGUCAACAUCAGGGUCUCAACACCUGCAGUGGAGAAAAGCCCUCUUCCCUCCAGACCUUUCCACACCCCUGCAGUCUACAGAGGAAUGGCCCUUCCUGGGGAAAAUCCAUAACUGGCUCUGUAUUUAAGGAAAUGUGACAACCUAAGUGGAUCGAGCCAUAUGAGUUUGGACAACCAGGCAGCUAUGAUGUGGCAGAAUCUAGGCGUGACAAGCUCCAAUGGAUAGACCCUGUCUUGGGAGUUUAGUAGAGAUGUGCAUGGAAUUUGAAAUCAGAUAAACUCAGGUCUUGUUGCAUGAGGCAAAUUACUUCUCUCUGAUCCUCUGAAUCAUCAUCUCUAAGAUGGUUUUAUUAUAUGGAUUGCUAACUUUGAGGAUUACCAAAUACCAGAUGCUGAAUAAGCAGUUAAUAAAUGAAAGUUAUUAUGAUC
rnacentral:lncRNA from 1 species